UCGACGAGAACGGGUUAAAGCUUGCUUUAACUGUCAGCUAAGUGGCGCACGGGUGAGUAAUGUAUAGUUAACCUGCCCUCUAGAAAGGAAUAACAGUUGGAAACGACUGCUAAUGCCCUAUAUGCCCUUAAGACAUAAGUCUGCAGGGGAAACGCUUUUGUGCUAGAGGAUGGGACUGUAUGGUAUCAGCUUGUUGGUGAGGUAAUGGCUCACCAAGGCAAUGACGCCUAACUGGUUUGAGAGGAUGAUCAGUCACACUGGAACUGAGACACGGUCCAGACUCCUACGGGAGGCAGCAGUGGGGAAUAUUGCACAAUGGAGGAAACUCUGAUGCAGCAACGCCGCGUGGAGGAUGACACUUUUCGGAGCGUAAACUCCUUUUAUAUAGGAAGAUAAUGACGGUACUAUAUGAAUAAGCACCGGCUAACUCCGUGCCAGCAGCCGCGGUAAU
rnacentral:rRNA from 1 species